rnacentral:tRNA from 2 species
GAAAAAGGACGCAAGAACUGCUAAUUCAUGCUUCCAUGCUUAACAACAUGGCUUUUUCA